UGGGGAAUUUUGGACAAUGGGCGAAAGCCUGAUCCAGCAAUGCCGCGUGUGUGAAGAAGGCCUUCGGGUUGUAAAGCACUUUUGUCCGGAAAGAAAGUCCUUGGCUCUAAUACAGUCGGGGGAUGACGGUACCGGAAGAAUAAGCACCGGCUAACUACGUGCCAGCAGCCGCGGUAAUACGUAGGGUGCAAGCGUUAAUCGGAAUUACUGGGCGUAAGCGUGCGCAGGCGGUUUGCUAAGACCGAUGUGAAAUCCCCGGGCUCAACCUGGGAACUGCAUUGGUGACUGGCAGGCUAGAGUAUGGCAGAGGGGGGUUAGAAUUCCACGUGUAGCAGUGAAAUGCGUAGAGAUGUGGAGGAAUACCGAUGGCGAAGGCAGCCCCCUGGGCCAAUACUGACGCUCAUGCACGAAAGCGUGGGGAGCAAACAGGAUUAGAUACCCGUGGUAGUCCA
rnacentral:rRNA from 1 species